AGUGCGUGACGUGGCAGUGCGUGACAGCGCAGUGCGUGUGCGGGCAGUGCAGGACCCGUGGUUCCGCGCACAGCCUCGCCUGCCUCCACUUAGCUCCCGCGCCGAGCCCAGCGCGGGUCUCAAGCUCUCUGCGGCCGCGGGAGCGACUCAGGCCGCCGGCCACGCGGGCACCUGGGGGAAGCUCACCGGCCGCCUCUGCUGCGUCCCUCGCUAACCUCCCGGGUCUUCCUGCUCCGCUCUCCAGGCCAGGCCUGAAGCCAAUGGAACACAGACCCCUGGAAGAAGAAAUUUGGACACAGACAUAUACAGAAAGAAGACUAUGCAAAGUUACAUGGAGAAGACAGCCACCUGCUGACACCUUGCUAUUAGACUUCCAGCCUCAAGAACGAUGAGACAGUUGACUUCUGUUGUUUAAGCUACCAGGGUCUUUCACCUGUAGUGUCUCAUUUAAUACCUACAACAAAUCUGCAAGAGGCAUGUUUCGGAUAAAGACACUAAGGGUAUCGAAAAUAUAUGUCCGCACUCACCUUCUCCUGGUGCUCAUUCUGACUCUUUCUCAAAUGACCAGGAUCUCACACUGAAUUGGCUUCAGACUUCCAGAAGGAGGAAACUGACCAUUCCUACAAUCCCGCAGCAAUUGCACCAGCCAGGCUCUGCUCAGCCACCCGGGCCACCUGCCCAGGGCCAGCCAGAGAGGAGGGCACCUGGCCACCAUCACUCCAAGACAGAUGCAGACCUGGGUCUGCAGGGCCAGCUCUGGCUCAGAGUCCUCUGGAAUCUCCCAACUCAGUCCCCGUGGACGUUCUCUGCUCUCCACAGAGGACACCAGGUGCUGGCCCUCAGGGACUCUGUGCUUCCUUCUCUGCAGCUCAGCCUUCUCUGAGAUGCUGAGCAGCCCCAGGGCCCACAGAGCCACCACUAUUCCCCAAGGCCUCUCUAAGGUCUGUGCUGCUAUGUUCUACCAGGCAGAGGGGAGCAGCCUUCUCAGAAGGUGAAAGCUGAGAGUGGGAUCUGAAGUCGGAGGCCUCAGACCCAGAGGACGGGCCCUUGAAGCCCCUGCACCUAGGCCUGGCCCUCUUUUGUGUCCUGGUCGCAAACCCACAGGCCACUGAUGGUCCGGGCUGGUUUGGACAAAGAACACUCUCCUCCUUUGCAUUAGAAGGCCUCACGGUGCCAUCCAGGCUGUCAUCCUUUACUUUCAUUUUAUCCCUUUUGAAAAAUGAUAAUCUCCAAGAAAUUCCCUGGAGGAUGCCUCACAACAUGCUCUAUCCAAAUUCUUCCAAGUGAAGAAGCCUUGGAGAUUUGGUGGCUAUUUUCAGCUCCGCAUGAAGAUGUGCCCUCUCCGUUUGGAGUGUGAAGGGAGUCCCCAGGCGCAUGUUCCAGCAUCGCUAUAACACUUCCCUGCCAGCAUUUCCCUGCAGGUCCCACGCUCAGUCCCUACAGCCUGCUUCUAGAUAUUGCAAGAUGCAGCCAGAGUAACUGCCGCAUGGAAUGGAGUUAAGUGGAGCAUUUGAGCACAGCUGAAUUGCUGGGAGCCGCAGUGGAAGAAAUCUAUUAGUGGCGCGGCUUGAAACAAUACACAAAAGGCCGCUGCGUGUGGUCACCAUCCGUGCUUCCCACUUCCUUCUGUGGAACAAUAAAUCUCCAAGUCAGCUAGAACGCAGCGACUCCCAUCCGACCAGAGCCCAGUUUUUAUCUUUUAUUCAUUGGCAGGAACAUUAGCUGUAGGAGGUAUUCAAAUCACACUUUUAUUUAAACAAACACAGCUGGAUUGCAGCCUCUUAAUAUAGCAAUUCUCUAAUGAAAAAUAACAACAUAGUAUUUAUCUCUUUUCUUUUGUGUGACUCUCAAUUUGCUAAAAUUAGGCAGACUUCAAUCCCAUACAAAAUUGGCAUGUUUUCAUGACCAGAGCUCAUCGCAACUAACUGCAAAAUUAUAAUGGGGAUAUAAUUAUAGGAGGGCAUGUGAAAUACACAUCCUUUUGCUGCUGUAAGCUAUAUGGGGUUAUGCAAUUAUGUUGUAAUAACAUCAUUUAUCUUAAAGGAAUCAGACAGCUGACUUCAUUUAUUUAACUUGAGCACUCCAAUUACGUGCUGUGUCAGUUUAACGUAAGUGUCUUGCCCAAAGAACUCGGUGUAAUAACAAUGGUGAUAGUAAUAAUAAUAAUAAUAGUGUGUGUUUGUAUAGGGCUGUGUGGAACACAGCAUUUGCACAGCUUGGAUCUUCUCUGAGUCUCAGGACUGUCCUGGGAGGCAGCCUGCAACUCUGCCCGUUUUAUAGACGAGAAAACUGAGGCCCGGUGAAGCAGGGGCCUUGUCAGGACAUGCACAUGGUACACAGUGAGGUAAGGACUUCAAAGUCAGGUUCUGUUUCUCUUAUACAAGAGACCAAAGUGUGGAGAAAGCAAAUACGUGCUGGCUGACAGGAAGA